GGACAAGUUCAAAACAGUCCCCAGCGAGACCUUGUAGGACAGGCAUAACGCCCGGGCUCCUGUUCCUUGCACCCAUCUUCUCUUUUUCUUACUCUUCCUUCACACAAGUACCGUGGCAGCAACACACCAAAAAAAUGAGUUUGAACCCGCAGUUCCAGCAGAUCGGAGAGACCUUCGUCAAGCAGUACUAUGCUAUCUUUGAUGGCGAGAGAGAUGGGAGGGAAAAGCUGGUCAACUUUUAUCACGCGGAGCUCUCGUUAAUGUCAUUUGAGGGAGUUCAGGUACAAGGAGCAGCUCAGAUUUUGGAAAAAAUUAAGAAUUUGACAUUCACCAAAAUUGCUCGAGCUAUCACAACUGUGGAUUGCCAGCCCACCUUUGAUGGAGGUGUUUUAAUUAACAUUCUUGGGCAACUUAAGAUGGAUGACGACCCUCCACAUGGGUUCAAUCAAACGUUUAUGCUCAAGCCACUCGGUGACAGUUUCUUCGUUCAACACGACAUGUUUCGCUUGGCACUCCACCAUAUUGUCGUAUGAGUGGAGUCCGCAGGGGUCAAGCUCAGAGGGGGCACAGCUCUCAUUAUCAAGUCUGCUUCACCACCUUAUUAUGGAUGAGGACCCAGUGCAUGGAUUCUCUCAGACGUUUGUUCUCAAGCCCAUGAGUGAUUCCUUCUUCAUCCAACACGACUCUUUCCGUCUUGUCAUUCAUAAUCACUAGACCAUUGCUUGUUUGUAAGUCACACGACCAUCAGUGUCAGCGUAUGAAUCAUCCUCCCCAACUACAGCCACUCAAUCAAAUUAAGUUAUAGCAAUGUCUGCAUCUGUGACACACAAGUACGAGUCAGAAUUAUAGUGUGUAGGAUCCUACUUUGUGAUGAGAUAAUUUAGCAUGUACAAAACACACUCUAAGACUCUUAAGGGUGUGCAAUGUAAACUUAAGAAUGUACAUUGAGGAAGAUUCAAUGUAUUCAUAAGGAAAGAGGUAGGGAAUUAUGCAUUUUAAGUGUGAAAUUGACUUUCAAGUAACUGUUGUCUCAGCUAACUUGAGAAAUAUCGUUGAUAUGUGGCAAUAUUUUCAUUGAAUGAAGGAAAAUAACGAAAGCCGUAUUUGAUCUAUGAAUUGUUGUCAAAGGUUAGCUGCUGGUGUUGCAAGAAGUAACUACAAGGAAAUCACAUCGUGGAUAUUAUAACUAUGAACUUAUACGCUUAAAUAAUGUCCCACAGAGGGGAACUUAUUGCUUUUGUUAUAUGGUGCAGAUGUAAGUUGGGAACAGCUGACCAAGAUACAUAUUGGUGGCAUAUUCUUAGUUGUUUCAGUGAUAAUGUUAGUUUGGCUUGAUAUGCUGCUUCUAAGUUCUCAUAAAAUUUGUAACACUAGGGAUAAUGCCACUCUAGGCUAAGGAUUGCCAUUGUUGAUUUUUUUUUUUUUUUUUUUUUUUUUUUUUUUUUUUAAAUGCCACACUUGAAAAGGUUGUACUGUACCCAGAUUCUUGUUGGAGAGAAAAGUAUGAACCUCUGAAUGGUUAUGGUUACAGGUUCAAGGUGGCUAAUCUCAUCAGUACUAAUGUCUCAACACAACCUAUUUGCCUUGUUGAUAGUAAUAGAUAAGUCCAUCAGGCUAAUGAAUAGCUGGGAUGUUAUUACUCUAAAGUGAUUAUAAACAUUGUUUUGAGCUUGUCCUUUUCCGUGAUAGAUGUUACAUACAUAAAUUUUUGGCCUUGGAUGUAUGUUACAGUUAAUUGGUACCACUGCUGCCCCACAGAUUGCUCAUUUGCCAGUUUUAUCAAACUUUUAAGGUUUAAUGCUUCAGCAGUGCUACACAUGUUAAUAAUUAAUAUGAAUUGGGUUGAUCACCUUUAUUUUAUUUAUUAUAAUUUUUUUUUAUUAAGGAAUAGCCUCUUGGUUAUAACUUGUGAUUCGGUUUACUAAUUGGCUAAAACCAUAAAAUGUUUGUAAAUGUAAGGGUAGUGUUUUAGCUCCUAUGUACAUGUGAGACAAAACUGCUAUUAUGAUGCAUCCAGGUCAUCCUGAGGGUGGGUAGGUGGUCACAUGAACAUGAAUUGAUGGCUGUAGAUUUGGAUGUUGUUGUUAACUUCAUUUGUGUUGGUUCAUUAACAACAGCUCUUGAGAAUACAUUUCCAUUGAUUUGAUAGAUUUUUGUGUGUGUGCAUCAAAAUGAAGCAGGUUCAUAUAAUUUGUUGCUGUACCAGUAAGGUGCACUCUUAUUUAUCCUUUUGUGUAACAUAGUGCAGAUUUUAUUUAUUGCUUCAAUAAUAUAUUUUUGUCUCUGAGUUUGUGAUAAGAAAUGUAACCUCUUCCUAGUCCAAAGGCUUGGGGUUGGUAACCACACCUGUAAUCAGUUAACAAGACGAGAACAAAUAUGAAGACUGUUUGGUCUCUUGAAUCAUUGUGACGCAUCUCAGCUUUUUUAAUUGGAGUCAAUGGGAAAAAUGGUUUUGCAUUAUAUAUAUAUAUAUAUA